AAAGUUGACCAUAUAAUUGUAAUUAAUUUUGAUUCCGUAUGUUUUAUACAAAAUCCAAAACAAUGAUACAAAGUCGUGGAAUUUAUAUAUAUAGAAUCGUGGAUUUAUUGAGAAGAAUUAACCAUAUGAUUGUGAUUAAUUUUGACAGUGCAAUUAAAAGGAUAGAAUAAAGGAUUAUUUUAUUUAUUUAUUUUAAUAGUACAAAUGAUUAAUUAUUUUUUAUUUUGUUGAUGUAUAGAUCUUCUAAACUAAUUUCAGCAGCGUCCCUACCUCUCAAGUCUUGGCGGAUAUCCGACGGGUAGCGCGUUGGCGGAUACCCCACGGAUGGCGGGUAUCCACGGGUCGUGGGUAUGGGUGGCAAAUAGUAGUGAUGUCAAUGCUAAGAAGCAACAGAGCCCCUACCUCUCAACUCUCAAGCCUCGGCGGGUAUCCGACGGGUAGUAGGUGGCGAGUAUCCGACGGAUAGCGGGUGGCGGAUACUCGACGGGUGGCGGGCAUCCACGGGUCACGGGUAUGGGUGGCAAAUAGUAGUGGGUGACAAAUAAUUUUUUUUAAUAUACGUUUCGCUAAGUCAUGUUUGGGAUGAAAGUUCUCUUUAAUUUAUUUUUUUAUUUUAGUUUGAUGUGUAACGUAGACCUAUGUUAUAUUAACAAUUUUUUAGUGGAUAAUCUCCAUAAUUUAUAAAUAUAUUAAAAAAUAAUUUCUA